AUGAAACACUCCUACGGGAGGCAGCAGUGGGGAAUAUUGGACAAUGGGGGCAACCCUGAUCCUGCAAUUCUGUGUGCACGAAGAAGGCUUUCGGGCUGUAAAGUGCUUUCAGCAGGGAAGAAGCAAGUGACGGUACCUGCAGAAGAAGCGACGGCUAAAUACGUGCCAGCAGCCGCGGCAAUACGUAUGUCGCGAGCGUUAUCCGGAAUUAUUGGGCAUAAAGGGCAUCUAGGCGGCCAGGCAAGUCUGGGGUGAAAACCUGCGGCUCAACCGCAGGCCUGCCCUGGAAACUGCGUGGCUAGAGUGCUGGAGAGGUGGACGGAACUGCACGAGUAGAGGUGAAAUUCGUAGAUAUGUGCGGGAAUGCCGAUGAUGAAGAUAGUUCACUGGACGGCAACUGACGCUGAAGUGCGAAAGCCGGGGGAGCGAACAGGAUUAGAAACCCUAGUAGUCCGAAGUUC
rnacentral:rRNA from 1 species